AGGACGAACGCUGGCGGCGUGCUUAACACAUGCAAGUCGAGCGGAAAGGCCCUUCGGGGUACUCGAGCGGCGAACGGGUGAGUAACACGUGAGUAAUCUGCCCCUAGCUCUGGGAUAGCUCCGGGAAACCGGGAUUAAUACCGGAUAUGACCACUUUAGACAUCUGCUGUGGUGGAAAGAAUUUCGGCUAGGGAUGAGCUCGCGGCUUAUCAGCUUGUUGGUGGGGUAACGGCCUACCAAGGCGACGACGGGUA
rnacentral:rRNA from 1 species